rnacentral:rRNA from 1 species
AGAGCGAACGCUGGCGGCAGGCCUAACACAUGCAAGUCGAGCGCCCGUAGCAAUACGGGAGCGGCAGACGGGAUAGUAACACGUGGGAACGCGCCCUUCGGUUCGGAAUAACUCAGGGAAACUUGAGCUAAUACCGGAUACGCCCUUACGGGGAAAGAUUUAUUGCCGAAGGAACGGCCCGCGUCCGAUUAGCUAGUUGGUGAGGUAAUGGCUCACCAAGGCGACGAUCGGUAGCUGGUCUGAGAGGAUGACCAGCAUCACUGGGACUGAGACACGGCCCAGACUCCUACGGGAGGCAGCAGUGGGGAAUAUUGGACAAUGGGCGCAAGCCUGAUCCAGCCAUGCCGCGUGGAUGAUGAGGCCUUAGGGUUGUAAAGUCCUUUAACGGGAAGAUAAUGACGGUACCGUAGAAUAAGCCCGGCUAACUUCGUGCCAGCAGCCGC